UUGUUCUGAAAUGAAUGUAAUCUUAACCAAACAUUUUGUGUGUGUUGUCUCUGCUGCAGGAGGUUCCGGACCACUUGCAGGAAUCAUUAGUGCUGUAGGUGUCGCUCUGGUGGGAGCUGCGUCCAGUUACUUUGCUUAUCAGAAGAAGAAGCUCUGCUUCAAGCUGCAGGGAGGUGCAGAUCCAGAGAAAGGUCAGCGAGGAGGUCAGUCUAACCCAGGAGACAGCCAGCUUUUUAGCAACCUGCUCCGGAACAACUAGAUCCUGACCCAGAAUUUGAUCCAACUUUUCAGCCAAGAGCCUUAAGACGUCUUUGGUACAGAAAAGAGCCACAAGUUCCACCAACACAUGCAGAACAAAAUGACAGCCAGCUUAUAGCUUAUCUUAGUCUGAGCUUCAGCAACAGUCAGAAUGUCAUUUUUUGUAAUGAUUUCAGGGUUUUAUGUUGAUGUGUUUUGACUUCAUGUAACUCUUGUAAACUUAAUUUUUGUCUUUUUCGUGUUUGCUAAACUGUUGGUUUCAUGUAAUGAGUCACAGCAGGAAAUCUGUUUCCUCCAGUAUCUUCCAUAAAAACAUUGUUCCCCUCAGGAAAGGACGCUUGUGGCGGCUUCUGUUUACUGUGGAGAAUCUAAUCUCACCUCCCAAAUAAUCCAAAGAUGAGAAAAACAGAAGUUACCUCAGCCACUGUCCAGGUCAGAAUCUUCUAGUUAGCCACUGAGCUGCUAGAAGAACUGGUCAUCAUUUGUUAAACAGCUGAAGGAGCUUUAAUGUAAACUGAUUGUCGUGUCACCAAGGGCUGAAUGAAAGUGCAAAUAUGUGUGAGGGACCUUUAGAAAAACAUAGAGAGCUGCAACAGAGCUCUGUACUGUUUUAUGGAAGCAUUUAGCUGCUAAAGCUGGAAUAUAAAUAAAGCUGCAGUAUCUCCUUAAAACAAGAAACUUUCUGGUUAUAAUGAGAAAUAAGUGUUAUUCCUCAAAGUGUUGUUUCAUUGUUACAACCUUGCAUCUAAAUGGCAAUAAACUUUCUUGUUAUGACAAGAUGCUACUGCUUUAUUUCCUAGCUGUAGCAGUUAAUUACUUCUGAACUGUUUGAGAUUACUAGUCCUAUUUCUAAUGCUGUUUAGUUUAGUUUUUCUUUUCUAAACCGUUUAUACUGUUUCCUGAUGGAUUUUAAACACACCAAGCUAGACACAUAGAGUAGCUGCUUGGUUAAGCUAACUUGGUUAAGCAGCUAACUAGCUGCUAACAUGUUAAUGGCUAGACUAACUAGCAGCCAGUUAGCUAGUAACAUCUUAGCUGCAACAAAGAGAUAAUGCUAAAGGCCAUUUUUAGUGGAUUGUUUUCUUGUUUUUUAGUUGAAAAAUUAAGUACUGAUACCUAAAAAAUGAUGUUUUUUUAUCUCACAGUUGGAUAUCUGUUUAUUAUGCCUUUGAUAUAAGAUAUAAGCUUUAGCUUAGUCCAUUUUGGUUCUGCUGAUUCAUAUAAAACAUCGACGCACGCUGAGAUUCUGCUUCUUUGUUGAAUCUCAUCACUUUUCUUUCCGUUGAGCAGUUGCUGUUAUCUGUGUUUGACGCCUUUUAAUUUGAUAGCCCAGGACGAGUUGUUAAAGAACGUCUUCAUUGUGAAAUACAAAAACAAGCUGCAUCUCUAUGUGCUGUAAAUAAUCCACUCCUUUACAUUGGAGUUCUAUGACUUGUUCUGUCAGCUUCUACCAUCAGUUUGAAAUGUGUUUUGUUAUUUUAAACUUAUGUCUGUUUUACCUACAUUGACAUUGUGCAGGUCUGUUACUGGAAUACUAAAUGCAUGAUUUGUCAUAUGAUUUCUGGUGUGUACAUGUUUUUAAUAAAGUGUUAUUGUACAC